CAAAAACCUGAAACACCCUGUAUAUUUAUUGUAUAUGAUAAAUUUUUAGUGCUAUAAAAUGGCGUCACGAAGAUUUCUUACUGAAAAGGACUUACAAAAGUAUGCAAAUGAUAUUAUGACGGAAGAAAGUGAAGAAGAAAUUUUACAAGAUGGCGCAAUAGAUACAGAGAGUUCUGAUGAAAUUUUCGAUGAAGGCAGUGACGAUAGCGUAAGAGAUCAUAACUACGUUUUUGGUUCCAAAGGGGUAUCUGAUCAUCAUACUGUACCCGAUUCAAAUAGUGAAGAGGAAAAUCCUCAAAACAAUCAACAGGAUGCUGAAGUUCAAGUAGAUAUUACAGAGUGGUCUCCGCACGUCAAAAUUCUGAAGAGGUUGCCCUUUUUAGGAUCAGUUCAAAAUCAUGCGCAGUCAACUGCUAAACAUCAUAAACAACAGAUUCCUAGAAAGGAAAACGGAAUAAUAUGCAGGAAGAGGUGUCAUAAAUGUUAUGAAAUAAACAAGGAAGGAUAUAGCACUGAAAUAGCCAGAAAAAAGACAAAACAAGUGUCUACUGAAUGUUGCAUAUGCAAAAAACCAUACUAUAAUAAUAAUAAUAAUACUUUAUUCCCCCCAUUUUACCAAAAAAGCGUAGAGUACGUCAAUUUAACAAUAAUUGCAUUGUAAUAUAAUACACAUUGAGUUCAAACAUUAAAUUGGAAAAACAUGUCAAUGGUAUACAUCGGAUUUUCCGUGACCAUAGCUCUCAGUCUUCUCCGGAAUCCUGGAACUGGUAGGAUCUUUGUACCUUCCGAAAUGUGAUUGAAGAUCUUGAUACUCUGGUACAGAGCCGUCUUCUGAAUCUUAGUAAGGUGCGUUUUUGGUGGCACCAGAUAGCACUUCACCUUCCCGCGCGUGUUUCGAGGAUGUGAUAUUUCAUAUUUUUUGAAAAAUUCAAAGUAAUUCUUCCUAACUAAUACAGCACAUUCCAGAAUAUAAAUUCCAUACAAGUUUGGAGAAACUCAACAUACUCUAUUCCCCUCCGCAAUAAAAUACAGGAACCACCAUGGGAUUUCUUAGUUCUAGUAAAUAAGGAUGCAACAUGGAAACCAUCUAUAAAUACAGGUUCAUUUGGUUUUAACCAAUGUUCGGAGAGUGAAAUUGCAUUGACCUCACCUUCAAGACAGUCAACAAGGAUCAAAAGAUCAUCAAUUUUAUUUCUUAGACUUUGAAUAUUGUUAUGUAUAAGUGUAAAUUUUUGAACAUUACUUUGUUUGCUUACUGAAAACGUUUUGUUUCGUUUAUUAUUCCAAACUGUGUUCUCUUGCUCUAUUUGUGGACGAUUAUUAAAACUAACAUUAAUUAAGUA